CCCUGGGGUCUCUGGAGACCUAGGUGUACUUCUCCCAUCCUACACUUUGGUUGUUCCACCCCUUUGGGAACCUCAGAGCCAAUGCAUCCAUCUCCUCUCCUGACCCAGUGGUUUUGCCUUUGAUGUGCCCAAUGAGCAAAAGUAUCUAACAGACAUAGCCGCAUGUGUCCCAUCCAAUAUGGUAGCCACCCUAUCUCAAGAAAUGGGGUUGGAGCUGAGCAUGGUGGCACACGCCUGUAAUCCCAGUACUUGGGAGGCUGAGGCAGGAGGAUCACCAUGAGUUUGAGGCCAGCCCGGGCUACAUAGCAAGUUCAAGACUAGUCUAAACUACGUAGCAAGACCUCAUUUUAAAAUACCAAAACCAGGGCUGGGGAUUUAGCUCAGUGCCACUGCGCCUGCCUUGCAAGCACAAGGUCCUGAGUUCAAUUCCCAAUACAUAAAAAACAAACCCAGGUGGGUUUGAAGUGCCUACCAAUACAUGGUGGGUAACCAUUCAGGGCCACCAUGAGCACUGUGGUUGGUCAAGCCCAGCAGGUCCUUGUCACAGAGGAAGUAAUGGCCCACCCUGCUUUUUUCAUCUCAGAUGUGCUUCUAUAAAGCUGGGCUUUCAGGCUGCACAGGGCCAGAAGCUUGCUGGGGGCGUGAGGCCGAAGACAGAGCCUCCUACCAUCUUCAUUGACCUGCGGCGGACAGAGCCACUGGAGCCACAAGACCAGUCCCCAGAAAGCUCCAGCCACAGCUCCUCUGACAGUGGAGAGGAGGAGGAUGAAGAUGAAUAUGAGGAAGAGGACACAGCAGCUCUAGGAGACCAUCAGGGCCCAGCACAGCAGGCAUCUCUUUCCUCCUGGGGCCUAAGAGCCACUCAGGCCCAGCCAAGGCUGUUGAGGACCAGCCCCCAGCAAUGUGGAGCACCAGGUACCACUUGGUCCUCAGCAGUGCAUCUCCCCUGCUAUGGCCAUCACUCUCUGGCUAGAUCUCAAGACCUGGGACACAGAAAGCAGCCCUGACGGACUGCAGGAAGAGAGAGCAUGGUCUGCUGGAAAGUAGCAAGGGCUACUCGGCUCCUUGGACACCUUUUACAACACUGAGUAGGGACAUGUUAAAACAGAACUGGCACAAGACAUCAGAAUCUGGAUCGGUCCUUUCUGAACACACAGGAACUCGUUCACUACCUCCAGCGUCCCUGGUACUGGUGCUGCUCGCUCCUCACACUACAGAGCCGGGGGAGGUUAAGGAACUUAACCUGGAGUCUUCGGGCUGCAAGGUGCAGGGCCUGCUGUGGCUCUGAAUCAGCUACAACCGGUGGACCAGGGGUUCCCACCCAGGGCAACCCAGGGAGACACUUCUGCCAGUACUGGGACGGGCUGGCAUGGCCUCCAGUGGGUACAGGCCAGGCGCAGAGGGAAACUUCUUCUGGUGCACAAAAUGCCCACGACUGAGGAUGGCUCAUUCCCAAAUGGCAACAGGGCCAGGAGAGGGGAGAAACCCUGAUCUAGGCUUUGCUGGGGGUGGGGGCAGGACAGGAGGCUUGGGGUCCCAGCUGUCAGCCCUUCUUCCUAUAUACUCAGGAGCACCCUUGAGGAGUCUUUGCAGAUCCAAGUUCAAAAGCUCUGUGACAUGAACAGGGUGAAAGGACCCGACUGACACAGCUCUGUCCCUUUCAGGCUCUGUGACUCUGGCCAAAUGACUUGUCUGCUUGUCUGUACACUAGGCUAACCGUGCCUGAGGACCUUGUGCCCCAAAGCACACUGGGGCACCUGGUGCCUGGGAGAGCAAAUGCCACCAAGGCAGGACCUCUGAGUAGCUCUGUGCACACAGCAGGCACACCCUGACUGCUGGGGCGGGGCAGAGCCUUCCACUGCCCCGGAAAUGUCCACAUUACAGCCCUGUCCAGCCCCUGCCUCCCCUCCUGUUCCCAACCCACCCUUCCGAAAGCCAAUGAGUGUGGCACUGACUGAGCCUCAAUCCCUGGGUCAUAAAAUGGGGAAAAGGAUGAAACAUGGGCCUGUUGCUAAAAUUCUGUAAAACUGGGAGGGAGGGGAGAGGAAGGGGAUUAAAAAAAAAGAAUUGAGAUGUGUUAUGCACAUGUACCAACUCUUCAUGAAGAAUGUGAUCAUUGUGUACUGCAGACAUGUACUAAUAAAAAUUUUUUAAUUAAAAAAACUUUAAAAAAUAAAAUAAACUUUAAAAUUCUGUAAAAAGGAAUCAAAUUUAGUAAUUCCUCAGAAACUAAGAGUAUUAUGACCCAGCAAUGCCGCUCACAGGUAUGUAGCUGGCCCUUGGAAGAUGUAGUGUGCCGGCCACUCACACAAUCUAAAACCCACGUAUAACUUCCUUUUCCCCUCUUAUUACUGGGAAUGGAGCCCAGGGCCUCAGGUGUGCUGAGCAAGUACUCCAUCACUGAGCUACAUCCCCAGCCCUUUUCUAUUUUGAGACAGGCUCUUGCUCAGUUGUCCAGGCUGGGCUGGAAUUUGCAAUCUUUCUGGUUAGCCCCCACGGUGCUGGGAGUACAGAUGUGUGCUCCACACCCAGCUUAUUUUUUUA
rnacentral:lncRNA from 1 species